UCAAGAUCCUGCCAAGAUUUCCUUGUAAAUAAAACUGUCGGCAUAGGGUGUGAUUUUGAAAACAGCCUUCAGGGGACAGAAGAGAGGCUGACUCCUUUGUGGAAAGAAGCCCCAAAGUACCAGCGGUGGCAGGGGGCCCCCAGGAACAUUUCACCGCCCUUCGCCAUGGUGUUUCCAAAAGUCUCCUAGGAAAAUUCCCGACCUCUAACCAGCAGCCUCCCUUCAGGACAAUGCUACCCUUUCCCCAGCCCCUGCUGGAAGGAGACCGGCCAUCUGGACUUGGAGACGAGGAAUCCCCUAGUCGUGUUUGAAGUCUGCAAGUCCGAACAGCGGACGCAGCUCAGGGAGGAGACUGCCACUUGGAAUCCAACCCCUCCAUCCCCAGCUCCAGCAUUCUUCCAUUAUUGCCCGCUGUCUUCCAGAUCAAACAGAACAAGACUGCCAAACCAAUUUUUCCCCCCUUUCCUUUCGUCUCUUCCUUUCUCACUCCAGGGUCCCCAAUUUUCCGAGUAACUUAAAUCAUUCCUGAAAGAUGUCUAGGUUCACAGACACCAAACCCUUUCAAAGAGAGGCGUGGGUGCCCAAAAGUGAAGCUCAGAAAAGAAGAGAGGAAACUUUCCAGUUCCAAGAUUUAGCCAAUCACAUAUUCAGGGAAACUACCAGCUGCUUUGCCAGGUCUCAUCUUCCCUCUCUGCCAUCUCCUUGGGGCUUGGCUGGUCCCCAGGCUCCCGUUUCUGGAUUCUCUUUGGGCCUCCAACACUCUGUGUGACCUGAGGUUCUGCUAUACGUAGGUCCUGCCUCCUCAGUAAACAGCCUGGUCAGCCGUGCACAUCUCUCUGAUGAACGUUUCCUCCUACCGGAAGCCCUCCCUCACUCCCCAACCCAAACGGACCACCCCUUCCUCUGAAUCCCUUUCUUCUUUUGACCUUGCA
rnacentral:lncRNA from 1 species